rnacentral:rRNA from 1 species
UGAGCAAUCUGCCCUUCACAUCGGAAUAACCAUUGGAAACGAUGGCUAAUACCGAAUAUGACUUCGGAUCGCAUGAUCUGAAGUGGAAAGCUCCGGCGGUGAAGGAUGAGCUCGCGGCCUAUCAGCUAGUUGGUGAGGUAAUAGCUCACCAAGGCAACGACGGGUAGCCGGCCUGAGAGGGUGACCGGCCACACUGGGACUGAGACACGGCCCAGACUCCG